AUGGACACCGCUGGACCGGCCGGCGAGAAGCCGCACGUGGUGUGCUUGCCGUUCCCGACCCAGGGACACAUCACGCCGAUGAUGAAGCUGGCCAAGCUCCUGCACUGCAAGGGCUUCCACAUCACCUUCGUCGCCACGGAGUACAACCACGGCCGCCUCAUCCGCUCCCGCGGCCCGAGCGCCGCCGCGGGCCUCGCCGGCUUUGGCUUCGCCACCAUCCCGGACGGCCUGCCCUCGUCACACGCCGACGCCACGCAGGACCCGGCGUCCCUCGCCUAUUCCACCAUGACCACCUGCCUCCCUCACCUGCAGAACCUACUUGCUGGCCUCAACAGCACAUCCGGGGUGCCGCCGGUCACGUGCGUCGUGGCAGACAACCUCAUGAGUUUCGCCGUGGACGCUGCGAGGGAGCUCGGCCUGCCGGCCGCGCUGUUCUGGACGGCCAGCGCCUGCGGCUACAUGGGCUACCGCAACAUCCGUCUUCUCAUCGACCAUGGCAUCAUUCCCCUCAAAGAUGAAGAGCAACUGACAAACGGGUUCAUGGACAUGCCGGUGGACUGGGCGCCUGGGAUGAGCAAGCACAUGCGGCUGAAAGACUUCCCAACCAUCCUUCGCACGACAGACCGCAAUGACAUCGCGCUAAACUUCAAGCUACACCAUGUGGAGCAUGCCGAGGCCGCGGAUGCGGUCAUCAUCAACACCAUGGAUGAGCUCGAGCAGCCGGCACUCGACGCGAUGCGUGCCAUCAUACCGGCCAUCUACACCAUCGGUCCGCUCAACUCCCUCACCGACCAAAUCGUCCCCUGCAUGGACCCCCUGCACAAGGUAAGCUCCAGCCUCUGGAAUGAAGACCACAGCUGCCUUGCGUGGCUCAAUGGCAGGAAGUCCCGUUCUGUGGUGUACAUGAACUUUGGGAGUGUAACCGUCAUGAGCAAUCAUGAGCUGGUAGAGUUCGCGUGGGGGCUGGCCAACAGCGGCCAGGACUUCCUUUGGAUCAUCAGGCCGGACAUCGUGAAGAGUGAGGCCGCCGUGCUGCCCCCUGAGUUCUUGGAGGCCACCAAAGACAGAGGCCUCGUGGCGAGCUGGUGCGACCAAGAGGCGGUGCUGAGGCAUGAUGCCGUUUGUGUGUUCUUGACGCACAGCGGGUGGAACUCGACGGUCGAGGGCCUCUGCGGUGGUGUGCCGAUGCUGUGUUGGCCGUUCUUCGCCGAGCAGCAAACCAACUGCCGGUACAAGUGCCUCGAGUGGGGGGUGGGCAUGGAGAUCGGUGACGACGUGCGGCGGGAGGUGGUCAUGAAGAGGAUCAAGGAGGCAGUGGGCGGGGAGAAGGGUAGGGAGAUGAAGAAGAGAGCGGCCGAGUGGAGGGAGGUGGCUAUUCGGUCCAAGGAGACGUCGUCGAAUAAUCUUGAUUCACUCAUCAAUGAUGUGUUACUAUCCGGUAAAAAAAACAGUUAG
rnacentral:rRNA from 1 species